CAGUUGCGAACGAAACGACGGACACGUGCCAAUCGGUUGAGUUUACGGAUGCAGAUCCAUGUUUAACCGGGGAAGUCGUUCUCGCUGGAAAAAUGCAAUGUAAAGUAUUUGGUCAAACCGUGUCGUGUCUGUCGAAGUCGUUUAUUUGUGACGGAGAGUGCGACUGCGAGAGCGAUUGCCAGGAUGAGCUCGAGGGGAACUGUAAAUGGAAGAACUAAAAGCGACGGACACGUGCCAAUCGUAAAAAGCGAGGAGCGAGCAAGUGGAAUAAAACCACUUAUCCAAAAAAGGAGAGUCUUGAUUUCCCUGUACCUGAACAGUCACAUGAUUAAAC